CUUGUUCAUGCCCCCAAGGCCAAUCCUGACAUGUCUGCCAUGCAAACUAUGGAGAGAAGCUACAGUCGCCAUUAUUUCAUUUUUUAAGGUGACACUGGAGAAAUGAAAGCGUACACAACUUGAAACACCAAGUCAAAAUCUAUAUGUGUGUAAAAUACUGAAGAUUACCAUCUCCUUAAUUCACCCGUUGCUGCUGUUGAAGAUUGAGUCACAUAAGCCUGUGAGGAUUUGAUUUUGCCUUGACCCCAGGAAAUCAUGUCCACGGCGGAUCACGACGAUUGAUCAACAGACGAACAGCCACUCCAGCAAUCAAUGCUCUCUGGCCGGGUCUCACAACAUCAGACUGCCUUGAGGAGAGGCCAGGGCCAGAUAGCAGGACCACUAUGGGAG
rnacentral:lncRNA from 1 species